GACGAACGCUGGCGGCGUGCCUAACACAUGCAAGUCGAACGGAACUCGGGACUUCGGUUCUGAGUUUAGUGGCGAACGGGUGAGUAACGCGUGAGGAACCUGCCUUUCAGUGGGGGACAACAGUUGGAAACGACUGCUAAUACCGCAUAAUGUAUCGAAGGGGCAUCCCUUUGAUACCAAAGCUUUAUGUGCUGAAAGAUGGCCUCGCGUCUGAUUAGAUAGUUGGUGAGGUAACGGCUCACCAAGUCUGCGAUCAGUAGCCGGUCUGAGAGGAUGAACGGCCACAUUGGGACUGAGAUACGGCCCAGACUCCUACGGGAGGCAGCAGUGGGGAAUAUUGGGCAAUGGGGGAAACCCUGACCCAGCAACGCCGCGUGAAGGAAGAAGGCCUUC
rnacentral:rRNA from 1 species